rnacentral:rRNA from 1 species
GACGAACGCUGGCGGCGUGCCUAAUACAUGCAAGUCGAACGAACUCUGGUAUUGAUUGGUGCUUGCAUCAUGAUUUACAUUUGAGUGAGUGGCGAACUGGUGAGUAACACGUGGGAAACCUGCCCAGAAGCGGGGGAUAACACCUGGAAACAGAUGCUAAUACCGCAUAACAACUUGGACCGUAUGGUCCGAGUUUGAAAGAUGGCUUCGGCUAUCACUUUUGGAUGGUCCCGCGGCGUAUUAGCUAGAUGGUGAGGUAACGGCUCACCAUGGCAAUGAUACGUAGCCGACCUGAGAGGGUAAUCGGCCACAUUGGGACUGAGACACGGCCCAAACUCCUACGGGAGGCAGCAGUAGGGAAUCUUCCACAAUGGACGAAAGUCUGAUGGAGCAACGCCGCGUGAGUGAAGAAGGGUUUCGGCUCGUAAAACUCUGUUGUUAAAGAAGAACAUAUCUGAGAGUAACUGUUCAGGUAUUGACGGUAUUUAACCAGAAAGCCACGGCUAACUACGUGCCAGCAGCCGCGGUAAUACGUAGGUGGCAAGCGUUGUCCGGAUUUAUUGGGCGUAAAGCGAGCGCAGGCGGUUUUUUAAGUCUGAUGUGAAAGCCUUCGGCUCAACCGAAGAAGUGCAUCGGAAACUGGGAAACUUGAGUGCAGAAGAGGACAGUGGAACUCCAUGUGUAGCGGUGAAAUGCGUAGAUAUAUGGAAGAACACCAGUGGCGGAAGGCGGCUGUCUGGUCUGUAACUGACGUUGAGGCUCGAAAGUAUGGGUAGCAAACAGGAUUAGAUACCCUGGUAGUCCAUACCGUAAACGAUGAAUGCUAAGUGUUGGAGGGUUUCCGCCCUUCAGUGCUGCAGCUAACGCAUUAAGCAUUCCGCCUGGGGAGUACGGCCGCAAGGCUGAAACUCAAAGGAAUUGACGGGGGCCCGCACAAGCGGUGGAGCAUGUGGUUUAAUUCGAAGCUACGCGAAGAACCUUACCAGGUCUUGACAUACUAUGCAAAUCUAAGAGAUUAGACGUUCCCUUCGGGGACAUGGAUACAGGUGGUGCAUGGUUGUCGUCAGCUCGUGUCGUGAGAUGUUGGGUUAAGUCCCGCAACGAGCGCAACCCUUAUUAUCAGUUGCCAGCAUUAAGUUGGGCACUCUGGUGAGACUGCCGGUGACAAACCGGAGGAAGGUGGGGAUGACGUCAAAUCAUCAUGCCCCUUAUGACCUGGGCUACACACGUGCUACAAUGGAUGGUACAACGAGUUGCGAACUCGCGAGAGUAAGCUAACCUCUUAAAGCCAUUCUCAGUUCGGAUUGUAGGCUGCAACUCGCCUACAUGAAGUCGGAAUCGCUAGUAAUCGCGGAUCAGCAUGCCGCGGUGAAUACGUUCCCGGGCCUUGUACACACCGCCCGUCACACCAUGAGAGUUUGUAACACCCAAAGUCGGUGGGGUAACCUUUUAGGAACCAGCCGCCUAAGGUGGGACAGAUGAUUAGGGUG